rnacentral:rRNA from 1 species
UACGUAGGUGGCAAGCGUUAUCCGGAAUUAUUGGGCGUAAAGAGCGCGCAGGUGGUUGAUUAAGUCUGAUGUGAAAGCCCACGGCUUAACCGUGGAGGGUCAUUGGAAACUGGUCGACUUGAGUGCAGAAGAGGGAAGUGGAAUUCCAUGUGUAGCGGUGAAAUGCGUAGAGAUAUGGAGGAACACCAGUGGCGAAGGCGGCUUCCUGGUCUGUAACUGACACUUAGGCGCGAAAGCGUGGGGAGCAAACAGGAUUAGAUACCCCUGUA